AUGAGACAACGUCUUCAGCACCUUGCAGCAGUUCCAGUGUGGCUGCUUUCUCCGUGUGGUAUGUGUAUGGUGAAACUACCGUCUCCCUCGACAGCAACGAGACAGGUCAACCGUAGUACGUCUUUAAGACCCAAGUCCUCUACGAUGCUGACA